AACAAUUGGGUUCAUCUUCGGAAUCCAGUGUCGGGGAACCAGAUACGUUGAAAGAUUAAAUAAAUCUACAAAUACCUUGUACCUGUCACUGGAAAAACACAUGUAUACAGAUGUUUUAGACUUAUUGACAUGGAAUAUGUCAACGCUUGGCAGUUUCAUAGCGGAAGAACACUUGUCUUUGGAGUCAAAUCUGGGUUCAAAUUUCGCUCUGCCCCUUACACCUCACCUGACGUCACCCGGACAAGUUGACUAAACCGCAGUGUGUGUUUGGGUUUCUGACUCUGGCAAAUAACAUCUACGGUCCCUUCCUCCGGCCAGGCCUCCGGGGAGAUUUAGCGAGGCGGAGACACCCUAGGGACGCGGUCUGUGCCCAUCACCCCCACCGCCCAGAGGCGUGGCUUUUUGUGCCAACGGUCAUCUACGUCUCACGCUUGCAGAGCAUAUCCAGGGAAAGUGACAGUGUAU